GGUUCUUAGGUUAUAAGAUUAUGACUUUCUCCUCGGAUCCGUAGGCUAGCGGAAUUAGAACCGUAUUAUCUGAGUCGCUUUAUAUAAAAACAGGCCGUUUAUAACUUGUCGGUAGAAUAGAAUUAUAUUGAGUCGAUUGGAUAUACUACGUGUAUGACAUUGUUCGCGAGCGCGGACAUCGCUUAUGCCCAAUUGUAUCUCCGUACGUGUCCUUCCGGACCAAUAAAAGAAUAAUUAAUUAGUAAAAAUGAUUUUCCAAAAAUAUAGAAAUUGUGGAAAAUCGUUACCAAACGAAACAUAUCUCAAGAAAUUGAGAAAUAUAAAUAUAAGCACUCCAAUUAUAGGAGGAAUAGUUGGAUCAUGUUUACUACCUGCACUUGGUUUUGGAUUUUCUGGAGUUAUUGGAGGUUCGUUUGCAUCCUCUUGGCAAUCGACAAUUGGUUCAGUUGCAACAAAUAGCUUAUUUUCAACUUUACAAUCUUUAGGUACAACAGGAGUAGGAUCAAUUUUAUUUGGUUUUAUAGGUAUUGCAUUAGGUAUAUUAAUUUCAAUAGCAAAAAAUCGUGGUUAGUGCACAUGUUAUAAAAUAAUUAUUAUAUCUUUAAAAUGAAUUUUUAUUAAUGUAGGAGUGCGUUGUGUAAGAGUGCAUUAUAGAUAAAACAGAGAAAUACUCUGAUUCUUUUCUCGGCUUAAGAUGUACGCUGUUGCGUGGCGUGGUGCGCCGUGAGGAGACGCUGCAUGCGCAGAGAAGGGGCAGUAUGCUGGUGUGCGUAAUUAAGGAAGUACAUGGCCGAUCGCCGCGUGCAAGCCGGUUUUUCUGUAUACUUUAAUUGUAUUAAAUACGUUUUACUAUCAGAGUGCCGGUCAUUUCCUACUACCCGAAAACAAAUUCCUACAUUAACUAAUUUAAACAAAUAUAAUGGAUUUAAAAAAUUUAAACACCAGACAUAUUGACGACAGAUUUUGUUAUAUACAAUAUGACGAGUUUGAACUAAUUAUGAUGAAAAAGAAUAAUUUCAUAAAUGCUACUAAACUAUGUAAAUUAGGCAAUAACAAAUUAAAAAAUUGGUCAAGGUUAGAUGAGUCUAAAGAAAUAAUAAAUGAAAUUGAAGAAAUUAACAAAAUUUGGAAGAUAGAUAGUAAGAAGAAAUCAACUGGCUCAGAUCUGAGCCAGUUAAAAAUUGUUAUAUAAAAUCAUCAAACCUUCAAAUUCUAAAAAACUAACAUGUUUCUUAGUUUUACAAAGUAAAGACUUUAAUAAAUUUAAAAUAUUUAGAAUUCAAAAAGAAAAAGUAAACAACAUUGAAAAUAUGUACUUAAGAAAGUAUAAAAAAUUUUACGAAUCUUAUAAACCAAACGCUGUUAGUUACUAUAACUCUUUAAAAGAAAGGGGAAAAGAAGUAUUUAAAACAAACUAUAGUAAUUUACAGUUAACUGAUUUUGAUCCAGAAGACUUUAAAGAUGAAUUGAAGAUACUAGAUAAAUCUAGAUACUAUUAAUAUUUUUUUGUGAAAUUUUACAUUUUUACACUUAAAUGAAGAUGUCAGAAGAGCUAAUGACGAUGGUAUUUAGUAAUCAUUUGAUAGCCCUUCUAAUUUUUAAACAUCUUGACAUUGAUGAGUUAAUGACAUUUUACAGUAGUGAAUAUAGACAAAAUGUUGUAUAUUGCGUUAAUAAAAAUAAAAACAACUUGAAUUGGGAAAAAUUUAUUAUAGGGCGUAAAUUAUCGGAAGAUUUUAAUAGAGAAUUUAAAGAUAUAAUAGAUUGGAAAGCAGUAUCAUGGUAUCAAAAAUUAUCAGAUUUUAUUAAAGAAUUUCAAAGUAAAGUAGAUAGGGAUUUAAUUUCACGCUUUCAAAAACUUUUAGAAGACUUUAUGAUUGAAUUUGAAGAUAAAUUACAUUGGGCACAUAUAUUUGAACGUCAAAAACUUUCAACAAACUUCUUAAUAAAAUUUAAAGAUAAAUUGAAAAUACAUGAUAAAUAUCUUUACGAUAUUAAUAAUCAAUUAUUUAAAUAAGUAUUGACAACUCAAUUGAUUUCAAAAUUUAAUCACAAGACACAUAGACGAUAGAUUUUGUUACAUACAGUAUGACGAGUUUGAACUCAUUAUGAUGAAAAAGAAUAAUUUCAUAAAUGCUACUAAACUAUGUAAAUUAGGCAAUAACAAAUUAAAAAAUGGGUCAAGGUUAGAUGAGUCUAAAGAAAUAAUAAAUGAAAUUGAAGAAAUUAACAAAAUUUGGAAGAUAGAUAAUAAGAAGAAAUCAACUCAGAUCUGAGCCUGUUGAAAAUCAUUAUAUAGAAUCAUCAAACCAUCAAAUUCUAAAAAACUAAAUGUUUUUUAGUUCUACAAUGAUGAUGCAAUAGUAAGAAGAAUAAGAGUUAUUAGAAUCAAUUCUUCAUACUUUGUUAAAAAUAAAUCUACUGAUAUUACAGAUAAAAAAUACGAAGGCUUCAUACUUCAUAAAAGAAAAAAGAAAGUUAUAGAUCCUGAAUUAGAACUGAAAUUUAAUAAUGGUGAUUUGACACUACCUCUAUUUAAAUAUCUUAAAAACAAACUAAUUGAAUAUCACUUAAUCAAAAUAACUACCAGAUUUGUGAGAAUUCAUCGAUUCCCGUUCGAUCUUUCGCUCAAGAAGCGCGUACCUUAGUCUCGAGGGGGUGGGGGGGGGGCAUAUUCCUUACUGCCAAGCACGAUACGUGCUUGUAUCGCGAAGAUGCGCGCAUGCUCCGGGGGACGUGCGUUCGGAGCAACGGACGGAGUCUCUUUCUCUUUCGUUCCUGGGCGGUCGUCGGACUCGGAUCGGCGAAAAGCCUUUCGCAUUUGGCCGUCUAUUUGAGUGGACAUCGUUUUACCGAUCAUCUGCGGAACAUACUUGGACGAUCAGGGGGAGAUCUGUGUGGCCAUCGUCUCCUGCCCUGGGUUUGGAAGUCGGGAUAAGCCGAUCGUAGGAACCCUGCGAGAAUUGCUUCAACGAUCUCGACGUCGGUGAUCAACGAAGUGAGAACCAUAAAGUCCGACGGCGUAGCCAGGGAACAGGCGAGAGAGCCAACGUGGGACUGAGGUAGCCGCCAUAAGCGUACAUUUAAGUAUUCUUAUUUAUAUAUAUCGUGGAAGAAGUCCGUCGCAAUUGAUAACGCACUUUUGAAAAUUCAUGUUAUUCGUGGCGGUCCUUAGGUUAUAAGAUUAUGACUUUCUCCUCGGAUCCGUAGGCUAACGAAAUUAGAACCGUAUUAUCUGAGUCGCUUUAUAUAAAAACAGGCCGUUUAUUACUUGUCGGUAGAAUAGAAUUAUAUUGAGUCGAUUGGAUAUACUACGUGUACGACAUUGUUCGCGAGCGCGGACAUCGCCUAAUUGUAUCUCCGUGCGUAUCCUUCCGGACCAAUAAAAGAAUAAUUAAUUAGUAAAAAUGAUUUUCCAAAAAUAUAGAAAUUGUGGAAAAUCGUUACCAAACGAAACAUAUCUCAAGAAAUUGAGAAAUAUAAAUAUAAGCACUCCAAUUAUAGGAGGAAUAGUUGGAUCAUGUUUACUACCUGCACUUGGUUUUGGAUUUUCUGGAGUUAUUGGAGGUUCGUUUGCAUCCUCUUGGCAAUCGACAAUUGGUUCAGUUGCAACAAAUAGCUUAUUUUCAACUUUACAAUCUUUAGGUACAACAGGAGUAGGAUCAAUUUUAUUUGGUUUUAUAGGUAUUGCAUUAGGUAUAUUAAUUUCAAUAGCAAAAAAUCGUGGUUAGUGCACAUGUAAUAAAAUAAUUAUUAUAUCUUUAAAAUGAAUUUUUAUUAAUGUAGGAGUGCGUUGUGUAAGAGUGCAUUAUAGAUAAAACAGAGAAAUACUCUGAUUCUUUUCUCGGCUUAAGAUGUACGCUGUUGCGUGGCGUGGUGCGCCGUGAGGAGACGCUGCAUGCGCAGAGAAGGGGCAGUAUGCUGGUGUGCGUAAGGAAGGAAGUACAUGGCCGAUCGCCGCGUGCAAACCGGUUUUUCUGUAUACUUUAAUUGUAUUAAAUACGUUUUACUAUCAGAGUGCCGGUCAUUUCCUACUACCCGAAAACAAAUUCCUACAUUAACUAAUUUAGACAAAUGUAAUGGAUUUAAAAAAUUUAAACACCAGACAUAUUGACGACAGAUUUUGCUACAUACAAUAUGACGAGUUUGAACUAAUUAUGAUGAAAAAGAAUAAUUUCACAAAUGCUACUAAACUAUGUAAAUUAGGCAAUAACAAAUUUAAAAAUUGGUCAAGGUUAGAUGAGUCUAAAGAAAUAAUAAAUGAAAUUGAAGAAAUUAACAAAAUUUGGAAGAUAGAUAGUAAGAAGAAAUCAACUGGCUCAGAUCUGAGCCAGUUAAAAAUUGUUAUAUAAAAUCAUCAAACCUUCAAAUUCUAAAAAACUAACAUGUUUCUUAGUAUUACAAAGUAAAGACUUUAAUAAAUUUAAAAUAUUUAGAAUUCAAAAAGAAAAAGUAAACAACAUUGAAAAUAUGUACUUAAGAAAGUAUAAAAAAUUUUACGAAUCUUAUAAACCAAACGCUGUUAGUUACUAUAACUCUUUAAAAGAAAGGGGAAAAGAAGUAUUUAAAACAAACUAUAGUAAUUUACAGUUAACUGAUUUUGAUCCAGAAGACUUUAAAGAUGAAUUGAAGAUACUAGAUAAAUCUAGAUACUAUUAAUAUUUUUUUGUGAAAUUUUACAUUUUUACACUUAAAUGAAGAUGUCAGAAGAGCUAAUGACGAUGGUAUUUAGUAAUCAUUUGAUAGCCCUUCUAAUUUUUAAACAUCUUGACAUUGAUGAGUUAAUGACAUUUUACAGUAGUGAAUAUAGACAAAAUGUUGUAUAUUGCGUUAAUAAAAAUAAAAACAACUUGAAUUGGGAAAAAUUUAUUAUAGGGCGUAAAUUAUCUGAAGAUUUUAAAAAAGAAUUUAAAGAUAUAAUAGAUUGGAAAGCAGUAUCAUGGUAUCAAAGAUUAUCAUAAGAUUUUAUUAAAGAAUUUCAAGGUAAAGUAGAUUGGGGUUUAAUUUCACGCUUUCAAAAACUUUCAGAAGACUUUAUGAUUGAAUUUGAAGAUAAAUUACAUUGAGCACAUACAUAUAUUUAAACAUCAAAAACUUUCAACAAACUUCUUAAUAAAAUUUAAAGACAAAUUGAGAAUACAUGAUAAAUAUCUUUACGAUAUUAAUAAUCAAUUAUUUAAAUAAGUAUUGACAACUCAAUUGAUUUCAAAAUUUAAUCACAAGACACAUAGACGAUAGAUUUUGUUACAUACAGUAUGACGAGUUUGAACUAAUUAUGAUGAAAAAGAAUAAUUUCAUAAAUGCUACUAAACUAUGUGAAUUAGCCAAACCUCGCUGUUCGGGAUUUAGCAUGUAAUGAGCUCGCGCCGUCCCGUCAGAUGGCAGCAGCUAUCGAUCACCGUUCACGUAGAUCGUGGUGCGCCAGCACGCACGCCUACAUGCGCAUAUCACCAGAAUUAUCUUACUUCAGUACGUGUGCUCUUUGGCGGCGGUUCACUUUCGCUCAUCGUGCUAUUGUUUCGACAUAGUUUUGGUGCUCAAAUCUAUCGUGAGAUCACAGGAGAUUCAUCCGACGACUACUCAAGAAGACUCAGUUAAUUAUUAAUGAGAGACUCAUCCGGACUGCUCUAGUGCAACAUCGAGAGGCUCAAGCUCACCACGAUACGCGCACGCCGGCGCCGCGUGAUACCGGCUCACGGGCAUCAUCGUCGUCACCGAAAAGCUGAGUCUAUUAUCUCAGGGACCUUCCUACACCCGAUCCUAGCGAAUUAAGCCCGCGUAGGAAAUACGGUCCGUUACACUGGUAAGUGCCCCAAUUAUCUUAAUAUUUACUUUAAUAAUUUUACUUAAUACUCCAAUCUUAGAUAAUUCUAGAUUUGUAAGAUUCAAUUUUUUUUUUGCUAAAGAAAAAAAAAACAAA